rnacentral:rRNA from 1 species
UACGUAGGGGGCAAGCGUUGUCCGGAUUUAUUGGGCGUAAAGAGCGUGUAGGCGGUCAGGUAGGUCCGUUGUGAAAACUCGAGGCUCAACCUCGAGACGCCGAUGGAAACCAUCUGACUAGAGUCCGGAAGAGGAGAGUGGAAUUCCUGGUGUAGCGGUGAAAUGCGCAGAUAUCAGGAAGAACACCCGUGGCUAAGGCGGCUCUCUAGUACGGUACUAACGCUGAGACGCGAAAGCGUGGGGAGCGAACAGG